rnacentral:rRNA from 1 species
UCGAGAAUCUUGGGCAAUGCGCGAAAGCGUGACCCAGCAAUGCCGCGUGCGGGAUGAAGGUCUUCGGAUUGUAAACCGCUGUCACUCGGGACGAAAAAAAUGACGGUACCGAGGGAGGAAGCCACGGCUAACUACGUGCCAGCAGCCGCGGUAAUACGUAGGUGGCGAGCGUUGUUCGGAUUUAUUGGGCGUAAAGGGUCCGCAGGAGGUUUGUUAAAAUUGGGGUGAAAUCCCGGAGCUCAACUCCGGAACUGCCUUGAUGACUGACGAACUAGAGUGCUGGAGAGGUAAGCGGAAUACCAGGUGUAGCGGUGGAAUGCGUAGAUAUCUGGUAGAACACCAAUAGCGAAGGCAGCUUACUGGACAGCAACUGACUCUCAGGGACGAAAGCGUGGGGAGCAAACA